CCCUUAGAUGUUCUGGGCCGCACGCGCGCUACACUGAUUCAUGCAACAAGUUUUGUCCUUGGCUGAUAGGCCUGGGUAAUCUUUGAACGUGAAUCGUGAUGGGGAUAGAUGAUUGCAAUUAUUCAUCUUCAACGAGGAAUUCCUAGUAAACGCAAGUCAUCAGCUUGCAUUGAUUACGUCCCUGCCCUUUGUACACACCGCCCGUCGCACCUACCGAUUGAAUGGUCCGGUGAAUAAUUCGGACUGCAGCACUGCUUGGUCUCCAGGCUUUGCAGCGGAAAGUUUAGUGAACCUUAUCACUUAGAGGAAGGAGAAGUCGUANCA
rnacentral:rRNA from 1 species